UGUGGUUAAUUUCGAUGAUACGCGAGGAACCUUACCUGGGCUCAAAUGUAUGUUGACGUAUUCUGAAAGGGAUACUUCUUCGGACAAUAUACAAGGUGCUGCAUGGUUGUCGUCAGCUCGUGCCGUGAGGUGUCGGGUUAAGUCCCAUAACGAGCGCAACCCCUAUCAUUAGUUGCCAUCAGGUCAAGCUGGGGACUCUAAUGAAACUGCCUACGCAAGUAGUGAGGAAGGUGGGGAUGACGUCAAGUCAGCAUGGCCCUUACGGCCUGGGCUACACACGUGCUACAAUGGUCGGUACAAAGGGUUGCCAAGCCGCGAGGUGGAGCUAAUCCCAUAAAACCGAUCGUAGUCCGGAUCGCAGUCUGCAACUCGACUGCGUGAAGUCGGAAUCGCUAGUAAUCGUGAAUCAGAAUGUCACGGUGAAUACGUUCCCGGGCCUU
rnacentral:rRNA from 1 species